GAUCUCCGGAUCAGGCGCACUAUAGGGAGACCGCUGGCGCGAAGUCAGAGGAAGGCGAGGGCAACGGUAGGUCAGUAUGCUCCGAAUGNUAUGGGCUACACGCGCAAUACAAAGGACGGGACAAUGGGCUGCUGNUCCGAAAGGAACGAUGGCUAUCCCGAAACCCGUUCGUAGUUCGGAUUGAGGGCUGUAACUCGCCCUCAUGAAGCUGGAUUAGGUAGUAAUCGCGUCUCAAAAAGGCGCGGUGAAUAUGCCCCUGCUCCUUGCACACACCGCCCGUCAAACCAUCUUAGUUGUGGGUGGGUGAGGCUACCUCUCUAUGUGGUAUUCGAGCCUGCCUUCGACAAGGAGGGUUAAGUCGUAACAAGGUA
rnacentral:rRNA from 1 species